rnacentral:sRNA from 1 species
UUUUCAUUCUUUUGGUUUCCAGUUUUCUAUUUUUUUUUAAUGAUUAGGUAGAAUAUAGUGUCAAAUAAGUUAUAAAUUGCAUGGUUAAAGAAAGCCAUUCAUCUAAUGUCCUGUGAACUUUAUAAGUGGUUAAGUAGUUCAUGUGAGUAGCUGCUUUCACCAUGCUUAAUAUUUAAAAGUUUAAAAAGUUUUUUGAAGAGAGAGGCAAUUUCUGUACAAUAUAAAUAUACAUAUAUACUUAAGUUAUUGAUUUGCAUGUCUAUAAAAUUAAGCCUCAUUUCCUGAUACAUGAUAAAUUUUGUAGAAUAAAAGGUGAAUUUGCAUUAAAGGUUCACUUUAAUGAAGGUGAAACAUGAGAAUGAGUUGUGUGUGAAAUUCUCAUUUGAUAUCCAGAGGACAGUUUGCAAACCUAAACUUCUGAUUGUUUCUGAUUUCAGAGAUGCCCGAGUGGUAAAAGACAUGGCAACAGGAAAGUCUAAGGGAUAUGGCUUUGUCUCCUUUUUCAACAAAUGGGAUGCUGAAAACGCCAUUCAACAGAUGGGUGGCCAGUGGCUUGGUGGAAGACAAAUCAGAACUAACUGGGCAACCCGAAAGCCUCCCGCUCCAAAGAGUACAUAUGAGUGUAGGUGUAUUGGAGAAGAAAAGGAAAUGUGGAAUUUUGGAGAAAAAUACACUAGAUUUUAAAU